UGCAGGAAGAAGCCCUCUGGGUUGUAAACUGCUUUUGACGGGGAAGAAACGACCCUUGCGAGGGGCAUUGACGGUACCCGCAGAAUAAGCACCGGCUAACUCCGUGCCAGCAGCCGCGGUAAUACGGAGGGUGCAAGCGUUGUCCGGAUUUAUUGGGUUUAAAGGGUGCGUAGGCGGUCUGGUAAGUCGGCGAUGAAAGCCCGGGGCUCAACCCCGGAACUGUCGUCGAUACUGUCGGACUUGAAUGGGGUGGAGGCUGGCGGAAUGGGCGGUGUAGCGGUGAAAUGCAUAGAUACCGUCCAGAACCCCGAUUGCGAAGGCAGCUGGCUGUACCUUUAUUGACGCUGAGGCACGAAAGCGUGGGGAGCGAACAGGAUUAGAUACCCUGGUAGUCCACGCCGUAAACGAUGGAUACUCGUCGUGGGCGAUAGACAGUCCGCGACUAAGCGAAAGCGGUAAGUAUCCCACCUGGGGAGUACGCCGGCAACGGUGAAACUCAAAGGAAUUGACGGGGGCCCGCACAAGUGGUGGAGCAUGUGGUUUAAUUCGAUGAUACGCGAGGAACCUUACCUGGGCUAGAAUGUGCGUGAAGUGGUCAGAAAUGGUCACGUCCUUCGGGACACAAAACAAGGUGCUGCAUGGCCGUCGUCAGCUCGUGCCGUGAGGUGUUGGGUUAAGUCCCGCAACGAGCGCAACCCCUAUGUUUAGUUGCCAGCGGGUGAUGCCGGGGACUCUAGACAGACUGCCUCCGCAAGGAGUGAGGAAGGCGGGGACGACGUCAGGUCAUCAUGGCCCUUACGCCCAGGGCUACACACGUGCUACAAUGGCCGGUACAGCGGGUUGCGACACAGCGAUGUGAAGCCAAUCUCUCUAAAGCCGGUCUCAGUUCGGAUCGGAGUCUGCAACUCGACUCCGUGAAGCUGGAAUCACUAGUAAUCGCGUAUCAGCAAUGACGCGGUGAAUACGUUCCCGGGCCUUGUACACACCGCCCGUCAAGCCAUGGAAGUUUGGUGGACCUGAAGACGGUGCCCUUCACAGGAGCCGGUUAGGGUAAAACAGAUAACUAGGGCUAAGUCGUAACAAGGUAGCCGUA
rnacentral:rRNA from 1 species